rnacentral:rRNA from 1 species
UGGGGAAUAUUGCACAAUGGGCGAAAGCCUGAUGCAGCGACGCCGCGUGAAGGAUGAAGUAUUUCGGUAUGUAAACUUCUAUCAGCAGGGAAGAAAAUGACGGUACCUGACUAAGAAGCCCCGGCUAACUACGUGCCAGCAGCCGCGGUAAUACGUAGGGGGCAAGCGUUAUCCGGAUUUACUGGGUGUAAAGGGAGCGUAGACGGCAUGGCAAGUCUGAAGUGAAAGCCCGGGGCUCAACCCCGGGACUGCUUUGGAAACUGUCAGGCUAGAGUGCUGGAGAGGUAAGUGGAAUUCCUAGUGUAGCGGUGAAAUGCGUAGAUAUUAGGAGGAACACCAGUGGCGAAGGCGGCUUACUGGACAGUAACUGACGUUGAGGCUCGAAAGCGUGGGGAGCAAACAG